AAUAACCCCUUUCUUUAAAUGGUAAAAUCUUAAGCAACACAUGUUUUUUUCAGUGCUUUUGCCGAAGGCGUCUACGUGCGCUGCAGUGCGGAGCACGAGCCGACAGUCGUUAAUUUCACCAUUCGCCUCCGCGCACAUCGUAUAUGACUGAUUGUCUGCCGAGGCCCAAGACGUCGGUCGUCGUAAACAGCUUAUCAGGUCGGUGAGGCGAUGUGGUUACCCGUCGAAACCGCUGGAACGGCGACCAGAUCGAGAACCUGUCACAGACAGGGGCCGAGACACCGGCGGCCACAUGCAAUAAUCACCCGGUGGAGCAAAGUACACCGGCCGACCGACGUCAUUGUGGAACGCUGACGCAACGACCUUGUCGAACGGCCCACCUCCCGGCGAUCCCACGACCCACCCACCUUGAUGACGCCAGCCCAAUGUCCAACCUGCCGCCGGUGAGUCACCAGUCGCCAGUGACUCCCAUUUGGUUUAAUUCGAUGACUGGCAAUCUUGCGGAUCACAUAUUGCAGGAUGUUGGACGACUUAGCUUUUCUCGGAAUCUUGAAAUCCCACUGAGCAAUGCAGUGAAUUUGAUGGGGAAUGCAAGGCGGAACUGGCUGGGAUUACGAUUGGAUUUUAGUGCGGAACUUAGGUGGUUUACAAUAUUAUAUUCCCAAAUCAUAAAGCCUAGACUAUCUAUGAACACU